GGCUGCUUUUCUGCCAAUGGACCUGGCAGCUUGGUUAAAGUGGAAGGAAUCACGAGGAAAGAGCAGCACAUCAAGAUCCUUCAAGAAAACCUCAAGAAGGCAGCGGAGAACCUGGACCUGGGGGAGCAUUGGACCUUUCAGCAGGACAAUGAUCCAAAGUAUACGGCGAAGGUGGUGAAGAAAUGGUUCCAGGACAAUGAUAUUCAUGUGAUGAAGUGGCCAAGUCAAAGUCCUGAUUUAAAUCCCAUCGAGAACCUUUGGAUGGAGCUCAAGAAACGGGUGGCAGCACGGAAACCCUCCAACCUCAAAGAUCUGGAAACAUUUGCAAAGGAGGAAUGGUCCAAAUUUCCUCAAAAUAAUCCAUCUCUGCUGCUCGCUCAGUGUCACACGCUCGUGCUCAACUUCGGUUUCACUCGCUCAACCACAUGCAGUUACCCAGCUGCCACAAAGUCAGCCGAUCACUGAGCUACCGCUUGAAGUCCUCUGUUCUCAUUGGCUGAACUUCUCCACCAUUCACAAGACGUUACAAUUGGGAGGAUGGCGGGUCUUGAGGAACUGAAAUAGUAAGUUCAUAAAAAAGGCACAAGACAAUGAGAACAACUUACAGCAACCUCAGCCCAGCUAUGUGGAGAUGGCAGAAGUGACAGCCCCGGAAACUCCAGCAAACACAACGCACACUCUGUCAUGGAUGACUCCACAAAUCAGAUGCAGGCCUCAGGUUCUGUUGUAAUGGGACCUUUGGGCUUGAAGAAACACCUGGAGAAGAGCAUUGAUGUUGAAGUGGACACUACAGACAGGCAUCCUUCCAUAAGGAAAGGAGGCAGCCAAAGGAGCUGCUCUUAUGAUGGAUGUCUCUCCUGCACCACGUCGCUGAGAUCCAUUGUUAGCAAGAAAAUGGCAUGGAAUACAGGUGUUUUC